UCUUAGGUGUGUACAUUUGCUUAAAUAUCAAUGAAGGCAAAUGCCAUUAUGAAUUGCAGCCUCAACCUGUUUCUUAUUCCCAGAUAGCGGUCAUUAAUGAUCAUUGUGUAUGUCUCGGGAGUUCUUGCAAAACAUUUAUUGUAAAUACCUUUUAUGCUAUAAAUAAUAACAUCCACCCUAACUUGUGUUUAUGUUUUGUCUUAAUCAUAGAGGGAUGAGAUGUUAGGUUUCAAUCGGAAAGGAUGACAUCUAGAGCCAUUUGAACUGCAUACUGUUUGUAUGAUCAUGUCGAACCAGUGAGUCUGGGACUAAACAUCUCUCUCAUCAGCCAACUGGUGGAGCACCCAGACCUCACCAAGCAUGUUGAUGAGGUGGUAGAAUGAGGGAAGGAGAAAGAAGAAUUACCAGCAUCAAGCAGAGUUAUUACCUACCUGUUGUCUGAGGUCCACUCCUCACUCUGCUGAGUCACCUGGUCGGUUCUGGAUUCAGUCUGCAUCGUGAGGUUCCAGAGGCAAGCUGCAAGAAAUGGCAAUCUUAAACCCUGAUGACAGAUGCAGGUAGGGAGACGAAUCUCUUGAUUGGUCUCCCGCCAUCCUGAAACCAGUAAACACU